ACGGAAGGCAGCAGUAGGGAAUCUUCGGCAAUGGGGGCAACCCUGACCGAGCAACGCCGCGUGAGUGAAGAAGGUUUUCGGAUCGUAAAGCUCUGUUGUAAGAGAAGAACGUGUGUGAGAGUGGAAAGUUCACACAGUGACGGUAACUUACCAGAAAGGGACGGCUAACUACGUGCCAGCAGCCGCGGUAAUACGUAGGUCCCGAGCGUUGUCCGGAUUUAUUGGGCGUAAAGCGAGCGCAGGCGGUUUAAUAAGUCUGAAGUUAAAGGCAGUGGCUUAACCAUUGUUCGCUUUGGAAACUGUUAGACUUGAGUGCAGAAGGGGAGAGUGGAAUUCCAAGUGGAGCGGUGGAAUGCGUAGAUAUUUGGAGGAACACCAGUGGCGAAGGCGGCUUACUGGGCCGGAACUGACGCUGAGGCACGAAAGCGUAGGGAGCAAACAGGAUUAGAUACCCUGGUA
rnacentral:rRNA from 1 species